rnacentral:rRNA from 1 species
UACAGAGGGUGCAAGCGUUGUUCGGAAUCAUUGGGCGUAAAGCGCGCGUAGGCGGUUGUUUAAGUCCGCUGUGAAAGUCAAAGGCUCAACCUUUGAAAGCCGGUGGAUACUGUGAGGCUAGAGUACGGAAGAGGCGAGUGGAAUUCCUGGUGUAGCGGUGGAAUGCGCAGAUAUCAGGAGGAACACCAAUAGCGAAGGCAGCUCGCUGGGACGUUACUGACACUGAGGCGCGAAAGCGUGGGGAGCGAACAGG